GGUUUUUUUUUUUUUUUUUUUUUUUACAGCAAAGGAGACAGUUCAAGGGCACACAAAAAGCAAACAUUAAUAAAAAAAAAAAGCCCGCUACUCACUGCUCCUAAAAAGAAUCCAAAGAGGUGGCCGAAAGAUAGGUCAGUUUCGGGAGGAGAGGUGUCCUGAUACCCUCCUCUUGAAAGAGUUUAAGUCGUAGGCAGGAGGAAAUACAGAUGAAGGAAGAUUGUUCCAGAGUUUACCAGCGUGAGGGAUGAAAGAGUGAAGAUGCUGGUUAACUCUUGCAUAAGGGGUUUGGACAGUAUAGGGAUGAGCAUGAGUAGAAAGUCGAAUGCAGCGGGGCCGCGGGAGGGGGGGAGGCAUGCAGUUAGCAAGUUCAGAAGAGCAGUCAGCGUGGAAAUAUCGAUAGAAGAUAGAAAGAGAGGCAACAUUGCGGCGGAAUUUAAGAGGUAGAAGACUAUCAGUAUGAGGAGGAGAGCUGAUGAGACGAAGAGCCUUAGCCUCCACUCUGUCCAGAAGAGCUGUGUGAGUGGAGCCCCCCCACACAUGAGAUGCAUACUCCAUACGAGGGCGGACAAGGCCCCUGUAUAUGGACAGCAACUGUGCAGGGGAGAAGAACUGGCGGAGACGGUACAAAACGCCCAGCCUCGAGGAAGCUGAUUUAGUAAGAGAUGAGAUAUGAAGUUUCCAGUUGAGAUUUUGAGUUAAGGAUAGACCGAGAAUGUUUAGUGUUGAGGAAGGUGAUAGCUGGGUGUUGUCAAAGAAUAGGGGAUAGUUGUUUGGAAGAUUGUGUCGAGUGGAUAGGUGGAGAAAAUGUGUUUUUGAGGCGUUGAAGGACACCAGGUUCUUCUUGCCCCAAUCGGAAAUAAUAGUAAGGUCUGAGGCUAAGCGUUCUGCAGCCUCCAGCCUUGAGUCGUUAAGUUCCUGAAGGGUGGGUCUUCUGUUAAAAGAAGUUGAAUAAUGCAGAGUGGAAUCAUCGGCGUAGGAAUGGAUAGGACAGUUCGUUUUGGAAAGAAGAUCAUCAAUGAACAACAGAAAAAGAGUGGGAGAUAGGACAGAACCCUGUGGGACACCACUGUUAAUAGAUUUAGGGGAAGAACAGUGACCGUCUACCACGGCAGAAAUAGAACGAUCAGAA